UACGGGGGGGGCAAGCGUUGUUCGGAAUUACUGGGCGUAAAGCGCACGUAGGCGGCUUUUUAAGUCAGGGGUGAAAUCCCGGGGCUCAACCCCGGAACUGCCCUUGAAACUGGAGAGCUAGAAUCUUGGAGAGGCGAGUGGAAUUCCGAGUGUAGAGGUGAAAUUCGUAGAUAUUCGGAGGAACACCAGUGGCGAAGGCGGCUCACUGGUCCAUUACUGACGCUGAGGUGCGAAAGCGUGGGGAGCAAACAGG
rnacentral:rRNA from 1 species